GCGGGUGUGGCGAAAUUGGUAGACGCGCUUCCUUGCCAAAGGCCUUACAUGCUGAGGCUUUUACAAGGAAGUGGGGGAAACCCCGUGAGGGUUCAAAUCCCUUCACCCGUACCA
rnacentral:tRNA from 1 species